rnacentral:tRNA from 1 species
CGGGCAGUAGCUCAGUGGUAGAGCUCCCGCUUCGUGUGUGGGAAGACUUGGAUUCGAUUCCUGGCUGCUUAC